rnacentral:lncRNA from 1 species
UGUUUUAGACUGAAUCUUCCCGCCGGACGUUGUGUUAGAUUCUCCCAAACGACGAAUUGGCUUCCCGCUGGUUGAAUUGCUCUCAAUGUACAGUUCUAAAACAGUAAAAUUUGUAUUCUUAUCCCUUGUGGUUUAUGCAUUGAAGUUGUUCGAUGAAAUGCUCGAAUGAGAGUUAUGGUUCCAAAGAAUUGGUAUGAUGUUCUGUUAGGUGUGUGGAUAUUAUGAAUGCCUCCAGGGAAUUGAUAGAAGGGCUUGAGGAAUUGAACGUUGAGACUCCAGCGAAGUCAGGUGAUUGUCAUGAUGUAUGUAGACCUUUUGGGUUGUGUGUGAAUGUGUGAUGCAAGUUCCUCCAAAACGUAAAUGUUUUGAAGGGUUUAUACCAAAAUAUACUGAGACGUUGAAAAGAGGAAAUUGGAAUGGUGGUUUGUGUAAGGAGUAAGGUGUACCCAACUACAUUGUCAUUUUUCAGAGAAACUCUACUGGAAAAAAUGUAAAAAUGUCUUCCAUACAGUUUCCAACAUAAAGCCUCUUGACAUACAAAUUUUCAAGUUCCGUGAAAGCUGAAGAAUGCUACUAAAAUUGUUCUUGCUUGGCCUUUGCUUAUAUUAAUGUAAUAGGCUGCUUACUGUGGAACCAGGACCUAAUGGACUUAUGGACGCAGUGCAGUUUCCUGCAGAGGAGACCUUUUCAUUCGUCUUGCACAUUCUGCGCGAGGUACAGCUUAAAUAACACCAAAGAGCUACUUUGUUAUUUACAAAUCUUCAACUCCAUUGAAAUAGUUCUUUUCUGUAGCUGUAUGACUAUGACUCUUAAUGCUUAAUAUUUGUACUCUCAUAAAUUUCAGGUGUAAUGAGCUCAAGAAAACCAUUGCUGCUGGUGUUGUGAGCAUCUCUCUAUCUGUUCUAUUGGGUUCUACUGUGUUUGGUUUCUUGAGUGAAACAUUAUGGUAACGCCCUUAUGUCCUUACUAUAAUUUAAAUUUCAGCCUAUAUAUAUGUUCACUAAACGAUGCAUAAGGGAGUGAUCUGUAACCACAAUAUGUCUCACGUUUAGAUUUCUUAGAGCUGAGACCACUUUUAAGUUUUAAGCAUCACAAGUAAAUAACUCUUUAACAUUGUCUUAAAUUUCCUAAGCGGUUUGCUUGAAUCUUGCAAAUACCAGCUGAUAAUCCUAAAACUUUUUCUUUUUAGCCAUUGACAUUGUCAUUUCUUACAAAACACGAAUAUGUUUACACAGGGUGUUACAAUACGAAGAAGCCAAUGGUAGCGGAAUAUAGAAAUAUUGUAGGAUACAAGAGACAUAGAACACACAUGGGAUGAUGAUCAUCUCAGUGGAACUUGAGGCUGGUCAAGACGUUGUUGUUGACGGGAUCCGCCAAGUGAUCAAGCAGGUUCUGGUAAGGCCCGACUCCGGUCACUAGUCCCUGGAUGAAGUAACCGAGGAUGGCGAGCAUAGCCAGUCUACCGUUCUUGACCUCCUUGAGUUUCAACUCUUUCAUUGACUUCUCAUCUUUCCCAAACCCAAGAGGGUUGAAGAAAGGUCCACCGGGGUAUGAUGGGUCACCUGAACCGGCCAAACCCUUCUCUAACCCCAAGAAGUACUGUUUCCCCAUAGAUCCUGGGUUGUACCAGUCCUGUAACCUCCUGUGCUCAGCAAAUCCCAUCAGAGCCAUCUCAAGAACAAAGAGUGUGUAAUUGUCUGCCCA